rnacentral:tRNA from 1 species
CUGAUGUAGUUUAGAAAAACAUUGACCUUGUAAGUCAAAGAACGAGAACUAAAACUCUCCAACAGUAA